GAUGAACGCUAGCGGGAGGCUUAAUACAUGCAAGUCGUACGGUAACAGGCGUAGCAAUACGUGCUGACGAGUGGCGCACGGGUGAGUAACACGUACGCAAUCUACCUUUAACUGAGGAAUAGCCCCGGGAAACUGGAAUUAAUACCUCAUAACAUCUUGAUGUGGCAUCACAUUAAGAUUAAAACUCCGGUGGUUAAAGAUGAGCGUGCGUCUGAUUAGGUAGUUGGUAGGGUAACGGCCUACCAAGCCAACGAUCAGUAGCUGGCGUGAGAGCGCGAUCAGCCACACGGACACUGAGACACGGGUCCGACUCCUACGGGAGGCAGCAGUAGGGAAUAUUGGACAAUGGGCGAAAGCCUGAUCCAGCCAUCUCGCGUGAAGGAUGAAGGCCCUCUGGGUUGUAAACUUCUUUUAUCAGGGAAGAAACCCUUGGAUUCACUCCGAGGCUGACGGUACCUGAAGAAUAAGCACCGGCUAACUCCGUGCCAGCAG
rnacentral:rRNA from 1 species